GGGUCAGUAGGCUGGUCGUGCCACCGGUACGUACUGGUCUCACUGAUUCCUCCUUCCUGAAGAACCGUAAUGCCAUUAAGUUGGUGUUGCGGGGAAACAGGACUGUUACUUUGAAAAAAUUAGAGUGAUUAAAGCAAGCUAACGCUUGAAUACAUUAGCAUGGAAUAAUGAAAUAGGACGAUUGAUCCUAUUUUGUUGGUUUCUAGGAUUGACGUA
rnacentral:rRNA from 1 species